rnacentral:rRNA from 1 species
GACGAACGCUGGCGGCGUGCUUAACACAUGCAAGUCGAACGGAAAGGCCCCCUUGUGGGGUACUCGAGUGGCGAACGGGUGAGUAACACGUGAGUAACCUACCCUUGACUUUGGGAUAACUUCAGGAAACUGGGGCUAAUACCGGAUAGGAGCUCCUGCUGCAUGGUGGGGGUUGGAAAGUUUCGGCGGUUGGGGAUGGACUCGCGGCUUAUCAGCUUGUUGGUGGGGUAGUGGCUCACCAAGGCUUUGACGGGUAGCCGGCCUGAGAGGGUGACCGGCCACAUUGGGACUGAGAUACGGCCCAGACUCCUACGGGAGGCAGCAGUGGGGAAUAUUGCACAAUGGGCGGAAGCCUGAUGCAGCAACGCCGCGUGCGGGAUGACGGCCUUCGGGUUGUAAACCGCUUUCGCUUGUGACGAAGCGUGAGUGACGGUAAUGGGUAAAGAAGCACCGGCUAACUACGUG